UCUAUAUUUUCUUUCUUUCUUUCUCUCUCCUUGUUCUUUUCUUCCUUUAUUUUUUCCUCCUUACUUUAUUCCUCUUCACUCUCCACCUUAUAAUGCCUACUAGUGGAUGACGCGCGCUCUUGCGCGCGAGACUAAACCAUCUCGACAAUAAUAUGUAAUAUUAGUUGUAAUGGUGGUAAACAUGAUAGUCUUAAUUGAUUUAAGCACAAUGCAGUAAACAUAGGUAGACAUACAUAAUAUUACAUGUCAUAUUAUAUUGAUGCUUACCAGGUUUGGUAGAUGGCAAGUCUCGACGCCAAUAUAAAAGCAUUACAGAGUGCUAGGUAAUAUUAUACAACAUUAAUAUUAUACAACAUUAGUAGGAUGUAGAGUCUAGGCUCCGUGAGAUAUAUUGUACAAAAGCAUCUCAGUCUGCCCAAGCACUCUUAUAGGUCCAUGGCAUUAGCAUCAUUAUGUAGGGUGGAACUUGGAGAAGGCUGUUCACUGUUGUGAAGCAUGCGAGCGCUUGCGUCUGAUGAGUUAACUUUAAUAAAGUAGUCCAUAGCAAACAUCCAUAUGUCUUCUAACUGCAUGUCCAACUGGAAUUGUUGGUCGAUUGCAAUCUUGAUACUUUGGUGGCUGAUUGCAUCGGUGGCUGAUAGUAGAACCUUUGGCAUCACUGCAUUGUCAAAGACAUUUGAGUCAUUGAUGUGGAGGUAUGUCGUGUUGACUAUCGUCAGGUUUGGGUAAUGGUAAUUAGCCAUCCCCUAGAUAUUGUGGCCUGUAUAAUUUUUAAUUCUAGUCAACGAUUAAUUUGAAGCACAAGCAAACUGAUGGGUUUAAAAAUAUGUCAAUAUAGAGGACGUAGUUGUCACAUAGAAUUAGGAAUGGAAUGAGUCAUUACUGUAUUAUUCCUAAAUUCAGUACAUUUUUCCAUGUAAAAGGAAUCCUGACUAUAUUGACAACAAUUUAUGAAGCUAUGAAAUAGGACUGGCAUAUAGCUAGUUAUUCUCUUUGGUUUAAAUGACAAUGUCACAUGGUAAUACACUAAUACUGCACAUUAUUACUAAGUGUUUUCAUGGAUGUCACUUUUUUGUGUGUUCGUAAGUCUUGAGACUCAAAGGAUCAAUGGUCCAAAAUUGAGCUGCCAUUGAAUGGAUUGACAAGCAAUGGGAGGGAACAGGAGUAUAGAGUUUUGUCAGAUCUCACGUACUGCUGUUGUAGCUGGGCUGGUGGCUGUGGCUUGAUUGAGUGGACUGUAAGUGAGAAGCAAUUGUAAUGACUUGCGUAUACCGUGAAAGCAAGCAUAGGAGUCACCCAAAAAAUAGGACAAUAUGGUAACUCUAAAAUCAGCCCGGCACUUCUACUUUGGUUAAUAGCUCAAGGACUAAACUGGGAUAACAAACAUUUAAGCCCAGACCAUAUGCCAUGAUUAACUAUGGAGGUCUAUCAUAGCUUAGUUCAGGAACAGGAGCGGAAGUAAUUGGAAGCUAUCCAAACCUUUGGCUACGCAAUACCACAAAUAUUAGGCGCGGUAGAGUAUAAGACAAAUAAAGGCAAAUAUUAUCAUUGACCAAUUGGUGAGCCAAAGCAAAAGAAGAGAUGGCGAGGAAAAGGAAGAGCAAGCAAAUUUAGUAAGUGACCAAAGAAAAAAAGAAAAAUAAUAAUAUGUUACUCUAAGAAAACUGCUAGGCCAUGUAUUGUUUUGGUGUACUGUCGAGGCAGCUCUUUGAUGAGGGAUUCCACAACAAUGGAAUCCCUCAUAACAGUCUGAAGGCAGUAAAGUCCAAUUUUUUAAAAAAUGAACACCAACCUGAUUUGUGUAGAAAAGCCUGCAACGAUGCAACACUUGGCCUGUCUGGUAAUCCAAAAGGACCCUGGAUGUGGGAAGGCAAAAAUAUUUUAACAAAUCAGGAAACUUGAAAUAGAACAAGCAUUAUAAGUCAGAUUACGAAGAAUGUACAAUGCAUGUAUUGGUAGAUGCAAAGAACAAUAGGCACUUCCUUCUUUCAGUCUUUAAAAAAAGUGGGCACUUCCUUCUUUCAGUCCUUAAAAAUAGUGCUUCUAUUGAAUCCCAGUCCUUAGUCGAUGACACAAUGUAAUUUAAUACAAUUCCUCUGAAACGAAAGAGUGAAUCAGUUGAAAGGCUCUGCUCUAUAGGGAAAUGAAACAAAUGGACUAUGUCAAUUUAGAUGGCACUCUCUGGACAGGUAAAUAAAAUCAUUCCCCAUAUGUAGGCAUAUGGUUUGGACUGUCUGUACACAAUUUUAGUAGUUGAUGAGGACACCGUCCUUAUCAAAUAAAUUAAAUGCAGUAAUAGUGAUCGUAUCAUAUUAUUCAUGGCAAUAGUACGAAAUCUGAAACAAAACCAAAUAUCAUAAUUGAUUAAUUGAGGCAUAAAAUUUUUGAAUCGACCACGUUAAGCCAACCUGUACAAAUAAUGGAACCUUUCUCUGUUGCUGUAGCUGCAUGUUCCAUAGUCCUGACAAAUAGGAAAAUUCCACUAUUAAUAAAUAUGAGGAGCAUAUAAAAGUUAGGAUGUUAUUAACAAUAAGAAAGACCAUACUAUGAGUCGGAUACCCGCAUAUAAGCAUAAAUUGUUUUGUUUAACUAAAACACAUGGAGCUUGUGCAAUAUGUAGACAACAAAUUUUAGGCAUGUCUUGGAUGAAUAUAGAAACUAAAGAUUAUACUUGGUACAGAAAGCUAUGAACAUACAAAUCCAUUUUUUGUGAUUACUAUGUGAAUGAAUGUACAGAAAAUAGUGACCUUCAGUUGUGCCUAUAUCACCUAAAAUUAGUCUCACACAUGCUCGAAAUUACAUAAGCAACAAAUAUACAUCAUACUGGUCUUGGUCAGAAAAAAAGAUGCAUAAGGUGUUUUCUUACCAAGUAGCAGGCGAGCGUCACCAAUGUUCCCAAAAAUAUCAACAAAAACAUUAAGUGGACGAAGAUAAAAGCAAUUAGAGCACAAUGAAGCACAAGAUUCAUACCCAGAAAAAAAUCAAAGAAAUAGUUAAACCGAAAAUGACUGUACGCAACCAAAGUGUAUACCAAUGUAAUCAUCGGGAUAGGGCAUGUGCUCAGAAGUGAUAGUAUGGCAUCACAGGCAAUGCUCACAGGCAGCAAAGCAAGAACUAUCAUAGGCAAUGGCAACACAAUCUCAGAGUCAUGAUCAAGAGCAAGUUUCAGGCGCGUAGUAUGUGACAAAAUAGGCAAUCGGUAUUAUCUCUCAUUAAUGUGUCCAAACUAAACAAAACAGUUCAGGCAGGAAUGAAUGGAAGAAAACCAAGACAACCAAUUGACCAUUGCGUAAGUUGUCGAUAUAGAAAAAAGAUAUAAGAGGAAAACCGGUCAUAGGUCAUGAGCAUUGCCUCAGACAUCUAAAAAGAUAGAGAUGUAAUCUGUGGAACGCACACAAUAAUCAUUACAUGGAACACAAAUAAACCUAAUUUAUGGUGCAAUCAUCAUAGCAGUAGCCCAUUCCCUUAAUUGUAGAUGUAAAUUAUACUCAUCAUCACACAUGGCUGAAAUGCAAACAAUGAACCCAAAAACAUCAAUACUGCAGUGCACGUGGUGUCAAACCAAUAACAGUGGCAUGCUCAUGUGCUCAGAGUUUAGGACUUACAGUGGAAGCUGUAAAAGUCAGGCAUAAGCAUCAAGUAAACCCAAAGAAGGUUUAGAAAUCACAGGAGGUAUUUGGUGACAAAAUCAGCUAAAUCAGCUGCAAUGUUUAUGAACCACAGGAUAGCAAAUCAAAGUGUUGAAAACAUUUGAGAAGACAUGGUCAGGGGUUCUUCGGAGGAGCUGCACGGGUAUUGUAGGGGAUAACAACAAAAAUUCACAAUAACCAUGUGUAGAUUUGUGAGAGAGUAGAAUGAGAACACCACAUCUACGGCGAAAUCGAGCCUGCGUCCAUGCAUAUCCCACAUGAGGAGAGAGGGGGAGGAAGGGAGGGAGGAAGGGAAAGUGAGGGAGAGUAAACCUGCGAGUGGAUGGAUCGAAGGAGAGCAGAGCCGCAUCGACUAUGUGCAGGAGCUCACGCAGAGGGGGGCGACCAUGGCCAACGGCGGUGUCCGAACAUGUCGCGCCGCCGUGUGGGACCCAUACCACCUGCGUCGUGCCCUGCGAGGAGCCAUGUCACGGGGCCAAGCCGUGUGGGGUAGGUGAGUAUGGAGGGGGCCGCCGGGCUGCCACCCGAUGAACGGCCAAAACCCUAGGUUGGGUUUCUGUUGACCUAGGACCAGAGAGGGCGUCACGGUGGUCGACAGCGAUGACCUCGGUGGGCACACAGCAGCGACGCAGAGGUAGCACAGGACACCAUCAAAUAGUAGGCCAGACAAAGCAGAGGAAACAGCAGGAACCCCCAAGAUCACGACAGGAGCGACGGCGCCAAGGGAGAGAACAGACGAACCGAGCCUGAGGAAGACGAAAGGGAGGAUAAAACUGGGAGCAUUAGGCGGUGUUGGGUCCUUUUUCUGGUGGCUUGUGGGCCCCUACUUGGUUGGUGCAACAGGGAUGGCAAUAAAUGAGACAAACACACUUAAGAAGCUAUGGAGCCGAAGCGAGAGGCAGAAUCAACCA
rnacentral:lncRNA from 1 species